UUGAGCAACGCCCUCCCAAGAAAGGAAAUUCAUUGCGGAAAAGCGAGUACUGCAUUAUUGUUAUUUUUGACGUGCAGUGAGCCAUAAAUCUUGCGCACAGACGUGGUGGCGGUGGUGGAGUAAUCAUCUACCUACUACUAGGAACGUCGUGGACUCUCGGGGCUCUGCUGAGCUGAGGUGCACUGGAACCUCUGGGCAGCCAGUUACCUCUAACGCACAGAAGGGAUCGGUUGUCCGCCGCGCGCGUCCUUCACCUGUAGUGCUAGUGUUACUGUAUAGUGGUGUUAUUAUCUGAAUAUAUACUGACUAGCUACUCAACACAGCAUCGUGAAAAGCCAGCCUACGUGUUUUUAGAGUCAUUAUAAUUUUCAUCUAGAUCCGACGGGACGCAGAAAGACUGACAAAGAGAGGGAAGGGCAGCGGGAAACAGAAGGCGAUCCAAUCCAACGAACAGUGAAUGAAAAAUGGAUAGAUAGAUAUAGACAUGUAGAGAGAAAGAGGAAAAAAAAACAUGAAAACGUAAAUAAGUGAAUGAAUGAAUAAAUGAAAUGAAAAGGAAAAAGUAAAGAAUACGAAUAUAGAACACUAAAAAAAAAAAAAAAAAACAACCGAUGUGAAUAUUGACUGAAGAAUUAAAAAAGAAAAAAAAAAAAGGAACUGAAAGAGAAGUGGCUAUAAAAUCGACAGAAUUGAAGGUGAAUGAAAUCUUUGAAGGGAAUAUAUGUAACAUCAAGGGUUUAAUGACGGCUGGCGCCCACCGUCGCUGCAGGUUUUUGGUCGGGGAGUUCCUGUGAUUGCUGCUCUCACUCGCUCACUCGAAGUUCCUGCGCCACUGAACCGGAAAGGAAAAGUUUGAUUAGUAGUCUGAGUGAAGGUGCUCAGAGAAAAAAAGUGAGAGUUGAAGGGAGGAGGAGGAGGACGACGAGAAGGAGAGACGCUGACGGUAAAGAUGAUGUAAAAGGAUGUGAAAAUAUUUGUGCUGCAAGGAAAAUUGUUGAAAUAUUGAAAUAUGGUUUAUAUAUACAUACUGAAAUGAAUAACUGUCGACGUGUGCGAGUGUAGGGAAAUGGAGUGUGCGAAGUGAUUCUGUUUAUUCAGUGAAGUGAAAAUUGUCAACAUUUACGUGUUUUUAAAUGAAAUGGCAGCAUGCAAGGCAAAAAAAAUGUGUAUGAAAGCGUUUGAAUGACAAUUGUGAACAUGCUUUUAGAGUGACGCUGUACAUGCAGUGAAUCGACUGACAGAAAAUUGUGAACACACUGACGCACACUGAAAGAAAGGAAACUGUAAAUAACCUGAGAGAUAAAGAAUAUGAAAAAAAAGUGAAUGUGCGGAAAUAAACUCCGUGGAAAACUGAAUGUGCGAAAGGAAAAAGUUAUUAGAAUACUCCAAAAAUACACUGAAAGGAAAAUUGAAAGCACAGUAAAGUGAAGGCAGUAAAUAUACUGAAAUGAAUGCAAGGAAGAUGGAGGACCGCGUCAC